CCUCUCUGGGCAACCUGCCCCAAUGCUUUAUUAUUCUCAGAAGGUUGGGUUUUUUUCUCCUCUCUUCACAUAUUGAGUCAGAACCUCCUCUGGUUCAAUUUAUGACCACUGUCUCUUGUUUUCCUUCUGUGCACCUCCAUAAAAAGCCUGGCCAUCUGUCCAUGUUGCAGACAAGAAUCUAGUUCAAGCUGGAUCUUUGCUGAAGACUCUACAGUCCAAAUUAAUGUAAGAAGGUUGGGAUAACUUUUGGUUUCAGAAGGGCCGGGCAGUGAAUUAAACUUAUAUUUUUAAAAACAGGUAACUGAACCAUGAUUAAUGUAAACACAAACCCUCCUGCACCUGGCUGGCAACCACAAAAUACAGCGCAGCACUUCCCCUAACCACAGUCUCCUAGCAGUGUUGACUUAGUAAGUUCCUGUGACCUGCUGAACUUCUGCAGCUGAUAUGAGGUAUUGCAACAUGCUGUGUCACGUGUCAACCACGUUUCUGAGCUCCAGGAAAGACUCAAGAGCAGUGAUGUGAACUGUCACCCAAAUAUUCUGGAGGAAAAUAAGAAAAAAAAUAUUUGCCAGAGAUAAACAUUUUAUUUCUAUGUUGUGCUAAGACAACCUGUUCUGCCACAGAGGCUAUGAAUAGAUGUGAUUUAAACAUCAGAGCACAAUGUUUAGCUCCUCCCCAAGGAUUUUACAGCCUAUAUAUAUGGUGGGAAGCAAGAGAUGGGCCCAGGCAGACAGGCAGUGUGAGUAAAGAUAGUAUUGAAUGAGCUGGGGUCUCUGUAUCUCUGUGGCAUAACUCUUCCCAAGUUUGUAGGUACACGUGAAAAAAAGAAAACUUUCUCGAGUACAGAUCUGAAGGAAGACAACUAAGUGGCUUUGGAGAAUGUCUUAUAGCAAGGGGAUGGCCUGGGGAAAGGCAGGAGGCACUUGCUUGAGGAUGCAGCAAGGGGAUGAUGAAGGCUGUCACUGUGUGCUGACCAGAGGUAACAGCACCAACCUUCAGCUGUGUCUGCACAUUCUGGAUGCUACAUUGACAUUGACCUACUUUAUUCUCAGUAAAAAAAUAUUUAGCAAGACGAAGAGGAAGAAAAAAAACUGUUAUCAAGACAUUUUGGCUUAUGGUGAACAUGGCAGUUGAGGAAACGCUGGUGCAGAAAUGAUGGAGCAGGACUGGGUCUGUCAGGGCCAGAGAAAGCCAGAUGCAUGAUGAGGAGUUCCUGAAGAAGGCUCAGCUGUGCAGUUUCAUGUGAAAGGCCAUACCUGAGAGAUGUGAGAGCCUGGGGUCUGGAA
rnacentral:lncRNA from 1 species